UACGGGGGGGGCAAGCGUUGUUCGGAAUUACUGGGCGUAAAGGGCUCGUAGGCUGCCAACUAAGUCAGACGUGAAAUCCCUCGGCUUAACCGAGGAACUGCCCUCCAAACUGCUUCGCUUGAGACCGGGAGAGGUGAGUGGAAUUCCCAGUGUAGCUGUGAAAUGCGUAGAUAUUGGGAGGAACACCAGUGGCGAAGGCGGCUCACUGGACCGGUACUGACGCUGAUGCGCGAAAGCGUGGGGAGCAAACGGG
rnacentral:rRNA from 1 species